GGUCAUUGGGGGCCAUUUCUUGCAGAGAUGCCCUGCUCCCUGACGCGCUCGCUCUUCUCCAGAGUUGGCCAAAGGUGCUCUUCCCCGCAGACCCUAACCACACCCAGUGGCAGUUGGAUUUCUUUGUAACUGGCUUUCUCACAUAUAUCAUCUCUUCUUUUGAUCACUGUUCCUGAUUGUGACAUUGUGCAAGUGUUAAAUUGUGUGCCUUUUGUUCCUGAAGAAAGAGGUAUGGUAAAGAUUGAAAUACUGGAGUAUAUAGUCUAUUAAGUAGUAAGUUGGUAUGUUUUAAUAUUGGACUAAAUAAAGUAAAAUAUAGGUUAAGUAUCCCAAAUCCAAAAAUCCAGAAUGCAAAAUUUUUUGAGUGCUGACAUGAUGGUCAAAGGAAAUGCUCUUUGGAACAUUUUGGAUUUUGAAUUUUUGGAUUUGAGAUGCUCAACUGGUAUAAUGCAAAUACUCUAAAAUCCU
rnacentral:lncRNA from 1 species